UUAGGCAGGGCCGCGUGUGGCACGGGGUGGGCACACACGUGUGCGCAGCGCGGGGGAAACGGCAACUAUUGCAAGCCAGAAAACAGAAACCUGCAGCUUGGUGGGAGCAGCCCCCCCCAUGGCCACCUCCCUUCCCAGCCUGGGCUCCCCCAGAAACCCGGGAAUCAGCAGAGGCGCAGGGGAUCCCCUCUCUCCGGAGAAGGCAUCCAUCCACAAGAUGACCAGAAACAGAGCCGCGCACAGGCAAAAGCAGCCAAACACACCAAAUCUAAGACGACCCUGAAUUUAAGAUGACCACCCUCCCCCAUCAUUAGAUUCGAGACUCGAAGACAGCAAAAGAUGAUUUGAUGUUUGCAACUCCAAAUCCCAGAAGAGACAAUACCCUGUUGACAGAAAACUAUCAUAGGAUCCUGGAAAAGUCAUAGAAAUAAUACUAGAAGAGACUGGACAAAACACAGCACGUCAAAUCAACACCAGCCCUCUGCUUAGGUGGCCCUCUGCUUAGGUGACCUGAGGAAACUGGUGUGAAACAGGAGUGUUUGCCAGGGGGACACACCCUGCAUCCACCACCAGCACUGCUAGAAGUACAUACAGACUCUCAUCUUUAUAUCUCCAGCAGCAGCUCAGAUCAAAUGAGCCACUAUCAAGUGGAGGCAUCUGAAUCCCAAGACCUCUGGGCUUAGGCCUGCGCAUAGGAUGCCUGCCAAUGGAUUUGGGAGUAUCUAAAGCCCUGGGUGAGAGCCUGAGACAGAGGAUGCUUGCCAGUUGUAGCACCAUACCUGGUGUUUAGAAUGAUUGAGGUCUGCCUGCUCAAUUGAUGUGGUUUUUGGAAUGAUCGAAUUCUGCUCAGUCGAUAUGAUUUGGAACUGAUUGGGCUUUUUUGACCUGGAACAUGAAAUAUAUUAAUAAAAAAAACACCCCUGUAAUUUUACAGCCUUGCAUUGCUCAGAGUUUGAAGCCCUAGUUCUAGGAGUAUUGGUCUUCAUUUUCCCCUAAUCCCCAGUAAAAGGCAUUAAUUUUAUCCCCAGCUAACUGAUAACCUUUGCUCUUGGAGAAGCCAGUGCUUCUGGGAAGCCUGUUUAGCUCAAGAACAAAGAGGACUCCCAACUCAGUACCAGAAGGGACCUGACACAUGAUGUUUUUGAGAAGGCUCUUGUUAAAAUGUUGGCAGCACAUCACUAAUAGACUGGCAGCCAUGGGAGAUUUUGGGGAUAGAAAGGUACACGGUGUUCCCGGGAUUUUGUCUUCGUUGAGUAUCAAGGACUUACCUCCUUUUAGUUAUGCUGCAAGACAAAGAGGGCAAGAAUUUUAAACAAAGUAACUACAACGGUGUAUGUUAAAU